GCUGGGUGCAUUGGCACAGACCUGUUAUCCCAGCAGCUUGGAGGCUGAGGCAGGAGGAUUGUGAGUUCAAAGCCAGCAUCAGCAACAGCAAGGCACUAAGCAAUGCAGUGAGACCCUGUCUCUA
rnacentral:sRNA from 1 species